rnacentral:piRNA from 1 species
GUAAGUAGAGUUAAAGGAUUGUAGAUAA